GAUGAACGCUAGCGGCAGGCUUAAUACAUGCAAGUCGAGGGGCAGCGCAGUGUAGCAAUACAUGGGCGGCGACCGGCAAACGGGUGCGGAACACGUACGCAACCUUCCUUUAAGUGGAGAAUAGCCCAGGGAAACUUGGAUUAAUACUUCGUAACAUUAUGAGAUGGCAUCAUCUUAUAAUUAUAGCUCCGGCGCUUAAAGAUGGGCGUGCGUCUGAUUAGGUAGUUGGCGGGGUAACGGCCCACCAAGCCUGCGAUCAGUAACUGGUGUGAGAGCACGACCAGUCACACGGGCACUGAGACACGGGCCCGACUCCUACGGGAGGCAGCAGUAAGGAAUAUUGGUCAAUGGACGCAAGUCUGAACCAGCCAUGCCGCGUGGAGGAUGAAGGUCCUCUGGAUUGUAAACUUCUUUUAUUUGGGAAGAAACCCGGGAUUUCUAUUCCGGUUGACGGUACCAGAUGAAUAAGCACCGGCUAACUCCGUGCCAGCCGCCGCGGUAA
rnacentral:rRNA from 1 species